GAGUUUGAUCCUGGCUCAGAUUGAACGCUGGCGGCAUGCCUUACACAUGCAAGUCGAACGGCAGCACGGAGCUGGCUCUGGUGGCGAGUGGCGAACGGGUGAGUAAUAUAUCGGAACGUACCCUAGAGUGGGGGAUAACGUAGCGAAAGUUACGCUAAUACCGCAUACGAUCUAAGGAUGAAAGUGGGGGAUCGCAAGACCUCAUGCUCGUGGAGCGGCCGAUACCUGAUUAGCUAGUUGGUAGGGUAAAAGCCUACCAAGGCAUCGAUCAGUAGCUGGUCUGAGAGGACGACCAGCCACACUGGAACUGAGACACGGUCCAGACUCCUACGGGAGGCAGCAGUGGGGAAUUUUGGACAAUGGGCGAAAGCCUGAUCCAGCAAUGCCGCGUGAGUGAAGAAGGCCUUCGGGUUGUAAAGCUCUUUUGUCAGGGAAGAAACGGUGAAAGCUAAUAUCUUUUGCUAAUGACGGUACCUGAAGAAUAAGCACCGGCUAACUACGUGCCAGCAGCCGCGGUAAUACGUAGGGUGCAAGCGUUAAUCGGAAUUACUGGGCGUAAAGCGUGCGCAGGCGGUUUUGUAAGUCUGAUGUGAAAUCCCCGGGCUCAACCUGGGAAUUGCAUUGGAGACUGCAAGGCUAGAAUCUGGCAGAGGGGGGUUGAAUUCCACGUGUAGCAGUGAAAUGCGUAGAUAUGUGGAGGAACACCGAUGGCGAAGGCAGCCCCCUGGGUCAAGAUUGACGCUCAUGCACGAAAGCGUGGGGAGCAAACAGGAUUAGAUACCCUGGUAGUCCACGCCCUAAACGAUGUCUACUAGUUGUCGGGUCUUAAUUGACUUGGUAACGCAGCUAACGCGUGAAGUAGACCGCCUGGGGAGUACGGUCGCAAGAUUAAAACUCA
rnacentral:rRNA from 1 species